rnacentral:rRNA from 1 species
UACGUAGGGCGCAAGCGUUAUCCGGAAUUAUUGGGCGUAAAGAGCUCGUAGGCGGUUUGUCGCGUCUGCCGUGAAAGUCCGGGGCUCAACUCCGGAUCUGCGGUGGGUACGGGCAGACUAGAGUGAUGUAGGGGAGACUGGAAUUCCUGGUGUAGCGGUGAAAUGCGCAGAUAUCAGGAAGAACACCCGUGGCGAAGGCGGCUCUCUGGGACGGUACUGACGGCUGAGACGCGAAAGCGUGGGGAGCGAACAGG